UACGGGGGGGGCAAGCGUUGCUCGGAAUCACUGGGCGUAAAGCGCACGUAGGCGGCUUUUUAAGUCAGGGGUGAAAUCCUGGAGCUCAACUCCAGAACUGCCUUUGAUACUGGGAAGCUUGAGUCCGGGAGAGGUGAGUGGAACUCCGAGUGUAGAGGUGAAAUUCGUAGAUAUUCGGAAGAACACCAGUGGCGAAGGCGGCUCACUGGCCCGGUACUGACGCUGAGGUGCGAAAGCGUGGGGAGCAAACAGG
rnacentral:rRNA from 1 species